CGGCUGCCAGUUUUUUCCUUCACCAGAAAGGCAUUUAAAAUUACACUUCGAGAAAUAAAACAAAUUACUCAUGUAUAGAGAUUCAGGAUUUUGCAAUCAGUUUCACAUCAUAAAUGAUUUGAAGUGCCCAGGGUUAAAAGAAAAUAUUUUUUGUGUACAAUCUAAUAUAUGAAAACAAGCUUGAUAAUCGUUAGAUCAAAUGUUUGUUUAUAUCCAAAUUUAUGCAGAAUCAAUUAAAGUGUGUAUAAUAAAUACGCAAAUAUAAAUAUUUAUAUUUGAUCUAACAAUUAUUAAAUUCAUUUUCAUGUAAGGUCAAAAGCUUAUAACAGCCCCACCCAGUAUUGUUUAAGACUUGAAGGUCAGUAAAGUGUGCGCAUAAUGGAGACUUGUACAAAAUUCAAUGAACUUGAAAGUGUGUGCAUAUGCAUGCAUGCAUAUUAUUACAGUUUGGUCUUGUGGACUUACAACAUGUGCUUCAAUAAGGCUCUUCAGUUGCAUCUGGCCAACGGGAGCAGUCACUCGUUGGACCUUCACUAUUUCUUUAUUU
rnacentral:misc_RNA from 1 species